GAAGAGCCAGCGGAGGAGGACCAGAGCAGUGGAGCAAGACCCGGAGGAGGCAGCAGACCUUGCAGCUUUCUCUAUACCUGAUUUCCCGCUGCUGCUCCCCGAAGAUUACCUGAAACCGCUCCGCCUAAAGUAAAACUGGACCUGGUCGGUCGGACAACCUUGGCUACAGGCUGGAGUGUGAGACCGGCCCGAGCUGCGUUCAGAGUCGCCUGACUAGAGCCAGCCCAACCGACUCCAAUUUGGAAAGGCCUGCCUUCUCCUCUGUUAUAUGGGAAUUGUUCCAUGCUCUGCGUUGUUUAUGUAUGUGUAACAAAGACUUAUAGUUAGAGGCCACACCAUGCAGAUAUGGCUCAAGAUUGCACUUCACAGGGACUAAACAUCACAUCCAAAUUGCCCGAUAACUUCCCCGCCUGCUGUAUUCACGAAAACACGUUUCUAUGUAGAGUAGGGUCCAUGCAGAAGAAUCUAGAUGUUACGUGUUGCAGGCAGAUCAUCUUUUCCAAACAUGGCGGUGAUAUUGAGUUGCUGACCAGGUUGGUCAGGGGAAUACUAACGCCCAGCUGCCACUUCCACGCCCACCCCCAUUGAGGCCAUGUGUACCUGAGCUAACUCCUGCUCCUUGUAAACGGGAGGGGGAGCUAGGACAACCCAGACUGUGCUUGGCUUACCCGGGGACGCCCCGGCUGAGGCUUCGUAAAGCACCCCCCCACGGUACUAGAGAGGAAAAGGCGUACGAACACCUGUGCACCUGAGAUAGAGGUUGAGGCACGUAUAUCUGAAAGUCAACUUCUUCUCAUCUUCCUUCAGCAUUUAAAGGCAAUGAAAUGCCUGAGUCUUCUUUGUGGUAUUUCCGAUCUCCUUUCUUUCAUUUCACCAAAGAUAAAUUCAUACAGCAUCACUGACAACAUCACAUCACAGUUUAGAAAGAGAAUCAAGACCAGUGACAAAAAUAAUA